rnacentral:tRNA from 1 species
GCCGAGGUAGUCUAGUGGUAAGGCGCAAGCCUGGAAUUUUUCUCUAAUAGCGAGAAAGACCAGUGAGCUUGUGGGGGGAAACUCCCGCAAGGGUUCGAGUCCCUUCCUCGGCG